rfam:Nematostella vectensis strain CH2 x CH6 NEMVEscaffold_504_Cont28929, whole genome shotgun sequence.
GUUGAGGUGGCCGAGUGGUUAAGGCGAUGGACUUGAAAUCCAAUGGAAUCUUCCCGCACAGGUUCGAGCCCUGCUCGCAACG